rnacentral:rRNA from 1 species
CCUACGGGAGACAGCAGUGAGGAAUAUUGGUCAAUGGGCGGAAGCCUGAACCAGCCAAGUAGCGUGCAGGAUGACGGCCCUACGGUUUGUAAACUGCUUUUAUACGGGGAUAAGUCGCCUUACGUGUAGGCCUUUGCAUGUACCUUAUGAAUAAAGACCGGCUAAUUCCGUGCCAGCAGCCCCGGUAAUACGGAAGGUCCGGGCGUUAUCCGGAUUUAUUGGGUUUAAAGGGAGCGGAGGCCGCAUGGCAAGCGAGCUGUGAAAUGUCCGGGCUCAACCCGGGCCUUGCAGCGCAAACUGGCGUGCUUGAGUCCGCGGAAAGGAGGCGGAAUUCGACGUGUAGCGGUGAAAUGCUUAGAUAUGACGAAGAACCCCGAUUGCGAAGGCAGCCUCCUGCAG